rnacentral:lncRNA from 1 species
UGGAAACGCGCGCUCGCGUCCUUCCGCCCGGCUCCGCUAGCGCUCUCGGGUCACCUGACUUGAGAGGCGCCCAGUCAAAGCCGGCUCGAAAGGUUCCAUCAGCAGAAGUGCGGGGGACGCCUGGCGCGCGUCUGGUCCAGAACAGCGCGCUCUCCUUGUCGCAAACUCUGCUAGAAACGCGAUUUCCAGUAUCCACCCCAUUCUUGGAUGUGCCCGGGGUCUUGCUGUAUUAUUCCAGCUUGUCUCAAACUCCAGGGCUCAACUGAUCCUCCUGCCUCUUCCUCCCAAACAGUUGGGACUACUGGUGUGUCCCACUGCCCCUGCCUGGUGGAAAUGGUCUCAACCUUGAUUAUGGUGGUGGCUGUACAAGGCCUCGGGCUCAUUGAGAAAAUUAGUAUGGGUUCAUUUUAUUAUAUAUAAAUUACAGCACAUUAAACUUGCUUUUUUAAUUUUUAAAAAAAUACUAAGUUCCCUACAAACAUGCGUUAUGUGAUGGGCUGAAGUUGCUUUUAAAAGAAAAAUAAAAGUUUUAAAAAUAAUUUUUGCAUAUACUUCUUCAAAAUCCAAAAUAUCCUUUAUUCCAAAAUAUAUUUAGACCUAAGGGGUUUUUCCUGGGUGUAUGCUUAAGGGUUUUGUAUAAGAGAAUAUAGACUGGUAUCACUUUGAACAAACAGAAGUGCCCCCCCCCGUGGUAUAUAAUAUUAUAAUAUAAAACUCCCCAAAAUAAAAUAACCACUAAAAUCAUCUAUUAGUGGCAGGAGUUUCAUUUACUGUUCCUCUGGCAUUAAGAUUUCUUCCCCUCUUAAAAGUUGCCUCUAUUUGUUUCCUGGAAGAUCCCCUGUAACAGUGGUGGCAAACCUAUGGCUCAAGUGCCACAGCAGGCAUGCAGAGUCCUCUCUGUCAGCAACUGAGCCAAGUCACCCUAACAUUGCCCCAGCAGCUGAGCACCAGAAAACACUACACAUAGGGGCCAUGUGCCUGCUCAGGAAAGAGUAGCAGCACCAGACAGCACUAUCAGAUGACUUGAGUGCUGCAUGUGUUACUUUCAAACUAAUGAAGGAUGAGCCAAGAUUUGACAAAUUUAUCGGUAUGCAUACAACAGCAAAGAUCACAGUAAUUGUGCAAAAGCAUGCCAAAUGCAAACUUUUACCUUUCAACAAAAAGCUAUUUGUAUGUUUGAAAGCUCUGUUACUG